CACCCAGAGCCGGCGGGCCGCUAGGUCCCCGGAGACCCUGCUAUGGUGCGUGCGGGCGCCGUGGGGGCUCAUCUCCCCGCGUCCGGCUUGGAUAUCUUCGGGGACCUGAAGAAGAUGAACAAGCGCCAGGUGACGGAGGAGGGUUUUAAACUUCGCCAUGAUCGUGUCUUCUGCACUCAUGAUAUGGAAAGGCUUGAUCGUGCUCACAGGCAGUGAGAGCCCCAUCGUGGUGGUGCUGAGGUAGCCGGCCUUUCACAGAGGAGACCUCCUGUUCCUCACAAAUUUCCGGGAAGACCCAAUCAGAGCUGGUGAAAUAGUUGUUUUUAAAGUUGAAGGACGAGACAUUCCAAUAGUUCACAGAGUAAUCAAAGUUCAUGAAAAAGAUAAUGGAGACAUCAAAUUUCUGACUAAAGGAGAUAAUAAUGAAGUUGAUGAUAGAGGCUUGUACAAAGAAGGCCAGAACUGGCUGGAAAAGAAGGACGUGGUGGGAAGAGCAAGAGGGUUUUUACCAUAUGUUGGUAUGGUCACCAUAAUAAUGAAUGACUAUCCAAAAUUCAAGUAUGCUCUUUUGGCUGUAAUGGGUGCAUAUGUGUUACUAAAACGUGAAUCCUAAAAUGAGAAGCAGUUCCUGGGACCAGAUUGAAAUGAAUUCUGUUGAAAAAGAGAAAAACUAAUAUAUUUGAGAUGUUCCAUUUUCUGUAUAAAAGGGAACAGUGUGGAGAUGUUUUUGUCUUGUCCAAAUAAAAGAUUCAC
rnacentral:lncRNA from 1 species